rnacentral:rRNA from 1 species
UACGUAGGGGGCGAGCGUUGCCCGAAUUUACUGGGCGUAAAGCGCACGUAGGCGGCUUCGUAAGUCUGGUGUGAAAUCUCACGGCUCAACCGGGAGGCGGCACCAGAUCCUGCGGAGCUCGAGGACGGGAGAGGGGAUCGGAAUUCCCGGUGUUGCGGUGAAAUGCAUUGAUAUCGGGAGGAACACCAUUGGCUAAGGCGGAUCUCUGGCCCGUUGCUGACGCUGAGGUGCGAAAGCUCGGGGAUCGAAAGGG